rnacentral:lncRNA from 1 species
GACCUAACAACACUAAUAGAUUCUUAAAUAAAUUAUAAUUAAAGAUUAGCUAGUAUAAUCAAAGAAUAAUCAAAUCUUAUUCAAAUCUUAAUCAAAACCUAAUCGACCUUAAACAAAUCCUAACCAAAUCCUAACCAAAUUCUUAACAAACCCUUAAUAAAUCCUAACCAAAUCCUAACCAAAUCCUAAACAAACCCUAAUAAAAUCCUAAACAAAUUCUAACCAAAUCCUAACCAAAUCUUAAACAAAUCCUAAACAAACUCUAACCAAACCUUAAUCAAAUCUUAAACAAAUUCUAACCAAAUCCUAACCAAAUCCUAAACAAAUUCUAACCAAACCCUAAACAAAUCCUAACCAAAUCCUUAACAAAUCCUAACCAAAUCCUAACCAAUCCCUAAUCAAACCCUAACCAAAUUCCAAACAAAUCCUAACAAAACUCUAAAUAAUUCAAAGUAAUUCCUAUAGUAGAUUUAAAUCUAAAUAACUAAUG